GACGAACGCUGGCGGCGUGCUUAACACAUGCAAGUCGAGCGGUAAGGCCCUUUCGGGGGUACACGAGCGGCGAACGGGUGAGUAACACGUGGGUGACCUGCCCUCAGCUCUGGGAUAAGCCUGGGAAACCGGGUCUAAUACUGGACAUGACUCCAUGACGCAUGUUGUGGGGUGGAAAGCCUUGUGCGGCUGAGGAUGGGCCCGCGGCCUAUCAGCUUGUUGGUGGGGUGAUGGCCUACCAAGGCGACGACGGGUAGCCGGCCUGAGAGGGCGACCGGCCACACUGGGACUGAGACACGGCCCAGACUCCUACGGGAGGCAGCAGUGGGGAAUCUUGCGCAAAUGGGCGAAAAGACCUGACGCAGCGACGCCGCGUGAGGGAUGACGGCC
rnacentral:rRNA from 1 species